ensembl:lncRNA
ACAUUAUGUCAAAAGAACUUGAUGUCAAAAUAUCAAAAUAAUGUUGGCUUAUAAUUCCAGAAUAAUUCAGAAUUCAAUUGGAUUUUUUUUUUUUAAAUCAAAAAUCUAUUUUAGCCAAAAGGUUUUUUUUUUUUUUUUUUUUUUUUGCACUGCCUUUUGUAUAUCAUGUUGUGGUUUCUUAACAAGAACCACUGAAAUAGAUAAACAAUCUUUUAAUGGUGUAUUUAUUUUUGGUGUGUUUUACAAAAUAGUAUUUUUAGAGGUAAAAUGCGACAUGGGCAUGUUCUUGACAGAUCGCAGUGAUUCGCAUUUGAGAUCCAUUCCAGCCACACACACAUACACGCGCGCGCGCGCGGAGAGAGAGAGAGAGAGAGAGAGAGAGAGAGCUGGAUUCGCUACUUUCAUUCGGCUCACUGAGGUUUCGACUCGCGACACAAGCGGCUGUCUGUCACUCUCACCUGCUGAAAAUGAUGCUCAAAUCCACCUGUCUGCUGGGAUUGCUGCUCUGCGGCUGUCAAGGUAAGUCAGCGCUUGUUCACUUAUUAUUCACAUCAUAACAUGGCCUAUUGAUGAGAACAACAUUGACUCUCAUCUGUUGUUGACGAUGUGUUGAGUGAACUCGGGAAAAAAUGAGCCAGUGAAAAAUGAAGAUGAAUGUGUGGGAUCUGAGAUAAUGUGUUUUAGAUGUGUUGACGUUGAGUGAUUUGGCUGUUCAUAAAUCAUCGAGGGUUAUGAGUGAUGUGAGAGACGCCCAUGUUCACUGAUCAGGGGACUCGAGGAGUCGUGGCUCAUCGCCUGGAGAGGAAGAAACAAACUAACGAGUCUAAAUCCACGCGCAUCUUUACAUUCUGGUGCAUGUUUCUGCUCGCUUCCAGCUCCAUGUUGUCUGUGAAUAACUGCGUCUCUGGCUGUAAGUGUGAGAUACAAAGCAGAAGUGAAAGUGGGUUAGUCUAUAUUGUGCCGUAAAUUGGAUUUGAGAAAUAACUCUUGAAAAGAGGUCACAUCUCUUUUGAGAGGAUUUUACUGUACCUCACGUAUCACUGAAAGUGCUGAAGAUCUUUUACUGACCCGUACUCGGGAAGGAUUUCUUUUGAAAUUCUGUAACAUAUCUUUGCAAUAUUUUUUUGCAUCGUGAAAAGCGCUAUACAAAUGAACUGAAUCAUCAUAAAUGAAAUCUAAACAAUUUUUUGUGUACUGCAUAUUUUAUUCAGAAUUGUUUCACAAAUAUGAACGAUUCAUUGGUGCACAUGAUUCUAAAGCAUGUUUGUCUCUGUAAUCUAUUUGUAAUAAUUUCAUUUAAAAGUGCAUGUCAUUUCUGCAAAAGUGGCAAAAUUUGUGUUUUCUAAUUUGAUUGAUUCAUUUUUAAUUUGAUUCUGAUUUGAUUCCACUGGGAUUCAUUUUUGUUAAUUUUAGUCCAUUUUGUGUAUGUAUGAAAGAAGUUCAUCCUCUGCUUAUGCUGUAAAUUGUUUUAGGUCUUUUUGAGCAGUUUAUUGAAAGUUUGUUUUGGGAUUAUUUUAUUUUAU